rnacentral:ncRNA from 2 species
UUUGAAUUUAUCUAUGUCGGUUCCCGGGCGUUGUCCGGGAUGAAAAGGGAAUCCUGUGUGAAUCAGGGACGGUCCCGCCGCUGUAACCCCGCCUCUAUCUGUGUGAGGGAAGAGGAACUCUUUGAGCUUGUAAUGCCACUACUUCGUUUAAGGAAGUGGGAAGGCCGCUUAAAAGGGCAAAGGGAGUCAGAAGACCUGCCGAUGUAGUGAUUCAUGU